UGGGGAAUUUUUGGACAAUGGGCGAAAGCCUGAUCCAGCAAUGCCGCGUGUGUGAAGAAGGCCUUCGGGUUGUAAAGCACUUUUGUCCGGAAAGAAAUCCUUGGCUCUAAUACAGUCGGGGGAUGACGGUACCGGAAGAAUAAGCACCGGCUAACUACGUGCCAGCAGCCGCGGUAAUACGUAGGGUGCAAGCGUUAAUCGGAAUUACUGGGCGUAAAGCGUGCGCAGGCGGUUUGCUAAGACCGAUGUGAAAUCCCCGGGCUCAACCUGGGAACUGCAUUGGUGACUGGCAGGCUAGAGUAUGGCAGAGGGGGGUAGAAUUCCACGUGUAGCAGUGAAAUGCGUAGAGAUGUGGAGGAAUACCGAUGGCGAAGGCAGCCCCCUGGGCCAAUACUGACGCUCAUGCACGAAAGCGUGGGGAGCAAAACAGGAUUAGAUACCCUGGUAGUCCACGCCCUAAAACGAUGUCAACUAGUUGUUGGGGGAUUUCAUUUCCUUAGUAACGUAGCUAACGCGUGAAGUUGACCGCCUGGGGAGUACGGUCGCAAGAUUAAAACUCAAAUGAAUUGACGGGGU
rnacentral:rRNA from 1 species